UACAGAGGUCUCAAGCGUUUGUUCGGAUUCAUUGGGCGUAAAGGGUGCGUAGGUGGCAUGGUAAGUCGGAUGUGAAAUCCCGGGGCUCAACCCCGGAACUGCAUUCGAUACUGCUGCGCUAGAGUACUGGAGAGGAGAUUGGAAUUUACGGUGUAGCAGUGAAAUGCGUAGAUAUCGUAAGGAAGACCAGUGGCGAAGGCGGAUCUCUGGACAGUUACUGACACUGAGGCACGAAGGCCAGGGGAGCAAACGGG
rnacentral:rRNA from 1 species